AAAAUGUCAUUGAGGGGAAUUUCCUGAAAAGACUGGAGCGCAUGGCGAAAACGCGACACUCAAUUCUAUCUCCACAACCAUUAUGGAUCAGAAGUUCAUCAUGCAAGUUGACAAAAAAGGGUCUCCAUUCUCACCACCUCAUGAAUUCGCCGCAGAUUCUGGCCUCUCCCCCCGCGCAGUGUGUUACAUUUAAGGAUGUCCUUCAUCUCUCAAAUUGUGGGUGAGGGGUGUGAUAAUCUUGCAGCAUUCGAGGACAUCCAUGUGCAUAGAGGAUCGUGAUCCAACACCGAUUGAUGUGUCUCCCUUGCGAAGUCUCCCCGCCAUGAAGUCUCGUCCAUAAAGCCUCGUCGACGGAAGUCUUGUCCA
rnacentral:lncRNA from 1 species